rnacentral:lncRNA from 1 species
GGUGUAGCUCGUCGCUUUUUCUUUUUCUCUUCCCCUUUCUUUAUGUUUGGGCGAAGGUUUUUCCUCUGCUCCUAACGGGAUUGUAGGGGUGUAGAGGAGAUGCUGAGGGGGCCCUUCCCCUCAUCCGAUCUCAAACGAUCAGAUCUUCGUUUAUGUUAGGAUGAGGUUCUCCUUCUGUUGCCGACACGAUCAAUUUCAGU